CAUAUCAAACUCCGAAUGCCAUCAAGAUGAUUCAUGGGAGUCAGACCAUACGAGAUAAGUUGGAUGGUCAAAAGGGAAAGAGCCCAGACCUACAGCUAAGGUCCCAAAGUACGUGUUAAGUGGAAAAGGAUGUGGGGAUUCUAAGACAACUAGGACGUUGGCUUAGAAGCAGCCAUUCAUUGAAAGAGUGCGUAAUAGCUCACUAGUCGAGAGUCCCUGCGCCGAAAAUGUCCGGGGCUGAAACACGACACCGAAGCUUAGGAAUGUGUAAACAUUGGUAGAGGAGCAUUGCUGGCGGGAUGAAGCCAUACCGUAAGGAGUGGUGGACUGCUAGGAAGAGAGAAUGCCGGAAUGAGUAGCGAGAUGAAGGUGAGAAUCCUUCAGGCCGAAUAUCUAAGGUUUCCAGAGUAAAGCUGAUCUGCUCUGGGUAAGUCGGGACCUAAGGCGAGGUCGAAAGACGUAGUCGAUGGAUAACAGGUUGAAAUUCCUGUACCGCAUAUAAACAGAACUGUGGGGACACAGACAGGGAAUGGAAUCCGGGAAUGGAUAUCCCGGUGCAAGCGAGGUAGGAGUGCUGUUGGCAAAUCCGCAGCACGAUCUGAAGACGUGACGCGUACCGAACAUAAGUAGGGAAGUCCAGGCCCCUGGCUGUCAAGAAAAGCCGCUAUUGUUUUAUAUGUGCCCGUACCGCAAACCGACACAGGUGGAUGAGGAGAGAAUCCUAAGGCCGACGGGAGAAGUAUUGUUAAGGAACUCGGCAAAAUGACUCCGUAACUUCGGGAGAAGGAGUGCCAUGAGAGUGGCCGCAGAGAAAUGGCCCAAGCAACUGUUUAGCAAAAACACAGGUCUAUGCAAAACCGCAAGGUGAAGUAUAUGGGCUGACGCCUGCCCGGUGCUGGAAGGUUAAGGGGAGAGGUUAGCGCAAGCGAAGCUUUGAACUUAAGCCCCAGUAAACGGCGGCCGUAACUAUAACGGUCCUAAGGUAGCGAAAUUCCUUGUCGGGUAAGUUCCGACCCGCACGAAAGGCGUAAUGAUUUGGGCACUGUCUCAACGAUACACCCGGUGAAAUUGAAAUACCAGUGAAGAUGCUGGUUACCUGCGCCAGGACGGAAAGACCCCAUGGAGCUUUACUCCAGUUUGAUACUGGGAUUCGGCAUGGUAUGUACAGGAUAGGUGGGAGACUGAGAAGGUAUGACGUCAGUUGUACCGGAGUCGCUGUUGGGAUACCACCCUUACCAUGUUGGAUUUCUAACCUGUGGCCGUAAGCCGGUCAGGGGACAAUGUCAGGCGGGGAGUUUGACUGGGGCGGUCGCCUCCGAAAGGGUAUCGGAGGCGCUCAAAGGUUCCCUCAGAAUGGUUGGAAACCAUUCGAAGAGUGCAAAGGCAGAAGGGAGCUUGACUGUGACACCGACGGGUGGAGCAGGUACGAAAGUAGGACUUAGUGAUCCGGUGGUAUAAAGUGGGAUUGCCAUCGCUCAACGGAUAAAAGCUACCCUGGGGAUAACAG
rnacentral:rRNA from 1 species